rnacentral:tRNA from 1 species
CGCUGUGUCCGGAUGGCUUAGUGGUCAGAGCACCUGCCUAGUGAGCAGGAGACCGGGUUCGAAUCCUGGUCCAGUGG